rfam:Gossypium hirsutum cultivar TM-1 chromosome 17, whole genome shotgun sequence
CUUGGAGAAGCGUUUUGCCUACUUGGACAUAAAGCGCGCCCUUAAAUCGCUCCCUUAAGGGCGCGCUUUAUGUCCAAGUAGGCAAAACGCUUCCUCAAGG